rnacentral:piRNA from 2 species
UCUCUGAUCUGAUACACUAACAUAUUGC